rnacentral:rRNA from 1 species
GCUAAUAAAAGAUAAAAAUAAAAAAAGCUGAUCUCGUGUGAUCUCAGAAACUAAGCAGGGUCGGGCCUGGUAGUACUUGGAUGGGAGACCGCCUGGGAAUACCAGGUGCUGUAAGCU